rnacentral:lncRNA from 1 species
GUCUGUCUUCAUGCAUGAGGUACGUUCUCUUUCGCUCUGUUUUUGUUUAUGAAAAGUAGGACAAAAGAAAUUUCUGUUUAGAAAAAAUAAAAAAAAUCUGAAUUUUUAUGGUUGUUUGUUUGGUCAAACUGAAACCAUUUCUGUCUUUUUUGUUCUCUUUUUCUUUUUUUGAUUGAUUCAUGAUUCAUCGGAAAUUGAAUUGGAUUCAGUAGAAGGCUGGACCACAAGUUGAAAAGAAAGGAAAAAAAUCAAAUCUUUCAUGGGGAGAAUUUAUAUAAAGCUAGCUUGAGUUUGGAUCACCAGUCAAUCUGAACAUCCAAAUCAUUUGGACAAACAAGCAAUUGAAUGGCAUCAUCGAUUUGUAUAAAAUUGUUUUGAAAAAAGAAUGUCGAAAGAAUUAGAAUCUUAACUAUCUUUCAAUUUGGUGAAACCAGUACUCAAGAAGAAAUCCACCCGGACCUAUGGAUUCCAAAAUUAUUGUCAACGAAGAUCCUGAAAAUCCAUUUACUUCAUUCCUUUUCGGCCCUAAGUACAUGGCAACCACCAUGUAUCAGCUCAGCCCACCUGAGGUGACAUAUGCAACAAAAUUUUGACCUCCUUUUUUUCUCUUUUAUCAUCAUGACUUUUUUUAAAUCAAUUGUUUGGUGUUCUCAAACAAUACUAACCUUGUUUGUAGGAUUUAACGCUGGCUACUUUGCUAGGAAGGCCGGGAAGACAAUUCCUUGAUGAAAUAACAAGCGAAGACAUGAUCACAGAGAAGAACUAUGGAUCUGUGAGCCGAGUGUUUAUUGUGAGCAAGGAAGAUAGAUCGUUGAUGGCGGACUUCCAGUAUUGGAUGACCGAGAGAAGCCCAGGGGUGGUGGUGAAGGAGAUUGAAGGUGCCGAUCAUAUGGUCAUGCUUUCAAAGCCCAAGGAACUAUGCAGUCUCCUCCCAGAGAUUGCGAAGAAUAUUGAAUUUUAUGUGCACAUGGCUUGAUAACAAGUAGAGAUGUAGUUUCUUGGCUUGCCAUUAUUCUAGAACUGCAGAAAUAAAUGAAUUCGUUGUGAUCUGCAUCCGAGCAAAACUCAUCAGCUAUCAAUGGGUUGCAGUUGGGGUGCAUAUAUGGCUAGGUUGGAUUUAGAUUGUAUCUUUUUUAUGAUAUCAAUCAUUGAAUUGUGUUGCUGCUCGAUUUGGUUAAGAUCGGAGAAAAGGUGAGUAAGCCUCGUGCAGAGAAGGUGGUGCUGGAGUGACAUACAAAACAAGUUCAAACUGAAGAUUUUUGAUUCAGCGAAGAUCUUCCAACAUUCACAUUAGAUUCAGAGAACAAAGAAGCAGCAACAGAUUCUCUGAGAGGAAUUGAUUGACUUACCUUGGUCCUCGGGGUUUUGGUUGCUUAUAUAGAUAGCUGGUUGAACAAUUGUGAGAUCGUGCGAUCCUGAGAUUGCAGGACCGUUCAACAUGCUAUAACGGAUGAGAUAUUUCAAUUUUCUAUUGCUCUCGCAAGAUUAGGAGAGUCGGUUAUGUCUGAGUCUAUUCACUUGGGAUGAGUAGCUGUCGCGCACAUCAUAAAGUAAACUGACUGUGAUAACAGGAACAGUCCACGUGCUAAGACAUUUGUCCGUCGAGACAAUAAGGCGUACCGGAUAGACCAUGCAGCAGACAAGGCAUAAGUAGCUCUAUUUUGCAUAUAGCUUCAUGCUUUAGUCCUAAUGACAGCUUGAAGACCUGAGGUACUCACAGUAACCACCGUAACACUACCCCCUACUCUAGAGUCUGAGAAUCAGGCAAAAUGAAUAUUCCAAAAGUCGUAUUUCGGAUCUAAGGAUGUGCGCUUUCAUGCCUUUGUGAACAUCCGAUAUUUAAAGCUGCUGACAUCAUCCUAACAUGAUCAUUGAGAAUGAUCGUAAUCGAUAGGACCCCAAAAACUGGUGGGUCUUCUCAAAAAUUUAAUUUCUUAAGCGAUAGUUUUUUAUUUUCAUCUUCGUUCUCCUUUUAAAUCAGGCUCUUAGACAUUUAGUUAGGGAAAAGCAAUCGCGAGACUUUUCUGCUCCAAACCCAUUGUUGUGACCCUUAGAAGCAAAAUGAGCGCAGAACUCAUGAGAAAGCUCGAACUGAUGCUGGCCCAAAAGAAACAGGCUAGGGCCCCGACCGUUGGUCCUUCAGCUCUAGAGGGUGAUCGUGCUCAAGCUUCGGCUACCGAAUCGACUCCAGCGGCAGCGAGGGAUGAAAAUUUCCUCCAGUUGUUGAACCGGCGAUUGCUCCAUCAGAGGAUAUGAGGAAAGAUCCACCAAAAGGAAUUUUGAUGAGAGAAAAUGCCGGCGAAAAGGACGCAGAUGGUGGAAGCAAUGAGUAGCCCUACAAAAGUUUCGACUACGGUGAUAUGGGCGGAGGACACGACUAUCCUUCCUGAGGGAGUUCUAAUGGCGGUGACGAAAACUGAAAAAUCUUUGGAGCAGGUGACAUUCGCUGGACAUCUUCCUCCCGCCAUUUCUCAAGCAGGCCCCUCGGAACUGACAUCUUCUAUCCCGUCUCCGACGAAAAAUCUUCAUUCGAUAGUGAAUUUUCUGAGGAACUUUUUGUCGCCUACGGAAAAAUUGAAUAUGGACGAGCAAAGGGCUCAGGAGCGGAUGGCUAGUGCCCUGAGAUCACUCGUGCAUGUAAGAAAUUUUUGGAUCUUUUUAUUGAUCUCCAGUAUCAUGCAGUAUUUUGAUGCCUGUUUGCAAAAUUUUUUUGCAUAGGUGGACACUACUUGGCUAGCUUCAUCGGUGCUACUUCAGACACCUCAUUGUUGGAGCUUACAGUGGCAAAGGAAGAGGUUGAUUUACUGAAGUAUCAAUUGGAGCAGGUAGAAAGAAAUAAUUGUGAAUUAGCCAAAGAGCUCAGCUUCUCUAAGGAGGCCCGUCGGGAAGUCCAAGAGAUAAUCAACCAUCGAGAUGAUGAGUUAAGGAGGGCUGAAAGAAGAGUUAAAGACCUUGAGAGGCAAAGGUCUAGGGCUGAAAGAGACUGACACCGUGCUUGGGAUGACCUGGAGUGCCUAUGGAGGACACUCAGAAGGAAAAGAAGUCAAGACCAUGCUUCCCCUGAGGCUCAUUCUCGAAGGAGUCCUAACGAAAGCUCAGCUAAGAGGGCUCAAUCCUCUAAAAAAGAAAGUCACAACGAGAGAACACCUCAGAGGGAGAAAGAUUCUGCUUCUGAAAGGGUUCAGGCAACCCUGGAGCCGUCCGUCGAGCUUCAAGAAGAUUCGCCAGAGGCAGAGCAUUGGAAGAAGGAACUAAAGGAGGCAAAAAAAAAUCACGAUCACCUCUGGCGUCAAUUUAGAGAUUAGAAGUUUCUGACCAUGCAUGUCGAAAGAAGACAGAUCGACUAGCGAAAAAGGAGGUUGAGACUAUAAAUCAGAUCUGCAGGACGACAUUCUCAGCAGGCUUUGAGAGGUGUAAAAGAAUGGACCAAGCGCACCUCCUUGCUGACAGCAUUGGGCUUCUUCAAGCGGACGUUGUGGAUGAAAGCUUGAUCACCAUUACAGUGGAUAGUGUGAAAAAAUUCAUCAGGACAUCUCGCCACUCUGCUGAGGCGAACAAGAUCAACGUGGCCAUCCAAACUGAAGAAGUUAUCGGUGCUAAAGGAGGCCGUUCGAAAACAAGCCAUAUUGGUGGAGCUCCGAGGUGAUAAUUUGUAUCUCUUUUCUUUUCCUUCUGCAAUCCGAACUUUGUAAUUGUUUUGAUAUAAAUGAAUAAAAUUCACCUUUAUUAACAUCCAGUGUUUGGAUAUGUGAAUGCAAAUUUUAGACCAUGAUGGUUAAAUCUCGAGCUAACUCGAGAGUUUAAAUGUAAUUAAAGUAAUAAAAUGUAGUACGAAUCAUGAACUAAGUUUUAAUCCGAACUAUAUGACCCGCACCUGUCGCGUAGGCCUUGAAAGGACAAAAGUUUGAAUCACAUCUGUGCGGCAGAUACUGAUCCAAACUAUAUGACCUGUACCUAUCGUGCAAGCCUUGAAAGGAUAAAAAUUUAAAUCAUGUCCACGCGGCAGAUACUGAUCCGAGCUAUAUGAUCCGUACCUACAUGCAAGCCUUGAAGGAAUAGAAAUUUGAAUCGUGCCAGCAUGGCUAGUACUAUCAUACAUCUCCGUACGUCUCUUCGAAAGUAACGCAGAAUGUGAUUUGCCUGCCGCUGGCAUUAACUACCAAAUCGAUGGCAGAAAUAAUAGCCGUCAAGGGUUGCCACGUAUCGAGCGUCUGUUCACUCCUUAUCGAUUCACGCCUCCUACAAUUAAUACUGUGAUGGGAGGUGUUCUUUGAAGGCUCUACUGAACUUAGGACUAUUUAAAGCCCCAGACAAAGCCAGACGUAGGUCUCUUUAGAUUUUCGAUUGUCUUCUUUUCUCUUCCACUGGUUCUCCUUCGCCCUUUGUCUUCCGCUUUCGCGAUUUUCUUCCUAAGUGAGAAGAAUGGCCUCUAGAGAGCAUAACUAAGCAUCGCUGGGAUUCUGAUCCAAACUGAUCACGAGAGAUAUAGUACUACUCCAUGAGCAGAUUCAAAUCCCUUCGACAUUCCAGCUGAAAAUUUCGGAGCCAGAUGAUCGAGUUUGCUGUUCACCCUCAGACCGGAUGAGUCUCUAUGAGGAAUACUUUCGGACUGGAUUGCGGCUUCCUCUUUAUCCCUUCUUCACGACUAUCCUUCAAUAUCUUGGGAUAUCACCAUGCUCGGUGGUCCCGAACUCGUGGCGGUAUAUCUGCGGCUUCACUAUAGUAUGCAUGUUGGUCGGGGAUUGACCCUAGCAUCGCGCUCUUCCACUCCCUCUUCAACCUCAAGAGGCAUCCAGAGUCCCACGACUGGUGGUACGUGAUGCGUGGAGGAAGAAGGACGUCCUCCCACUGUCUUUACUGGAGAUCCCCACCAUUGUUUAUGGUUGGAAACCAUAAUUCCUCUUUGUCUCUCAGACGUCUAACGAGGAUUGGAGGUUUGUCGCUUGGGAUGAAUCUCAAGAGGCUUCACUAAAAGAGCCUUUCAUGAACGAACGCCUGAGAUAGAAAUUAGCAACCGUGCUGGCUUCAAGAUUCCGAAGCUGAAGGAACUGCUAUCAGUCCAGACGUUGUUAAACAUCGGCAUCAGUCUGGUUCCUCCUUAAGGUGCAUACUGCCCACUGCCAGGGUCUUACACCCUUUGAUUUUCACUGUGCUCUUGCUGAUGACUUACUUGUCUUUGUUGCAGAGAUGACCGCGGAAAAAGAUGCGGGCUCCCUGAAUAACCCAAAUAAAAAGAUCUGUUGAAAAAGGACAGCUGAGUCUGCAGGCGGCUGGAGCAUUUGCAUCAGAAUCGAAAGUCCUCUAGCACCGCUAGCUUCUGGAUCAGGAGGUUCUGAACUUCCCUGUGCUAAUGACCUCAGAAUGGUAAGAGUCAGCUCGACCUCUCCGACCUCCGAUGGAGAUCGAAGGAGCCAAACGAGCUGGGCUCCUGAGGACGUAAUUUUGAGUUUGCCGACCCCUCCUGCCAUUGAAUUUUUCCUAGGAGAUGAGCCAACCAAAGAGGCUAGGACUUCUGAUAUCGUGCCCAAGGUUUUUGAUUCUGGAGCUGCACUGGCCGAUUUGAUGCUCAGAGGCCUCGACUUUGAGGGAUUACAAGCUGGCAUGCGAGCUUUUCUUUGAGAUUCUCCUUUCGACCAAUGCAAACGAACUACUAAAUGUACUGUGGAAGGAGGUAAGAAAAGGAGCCGUGGAGUGCAUCAUCUAGGUAAGUUAGGGCUCCUGCAAUUUUAUUUAUCUUGCAUAUAUGUUUACGGUGCUUACUAACAAGGAAUGCCUCUUACCAGCUUUUUUAUUAUUUAAAUAGGUACAUUGAGAGCUGUCGUGCCUCUCGACUGAGGCGAAAAGUACUAGCUCAUCGAGAUGCUUGGGGAUGCCAAGAACAAGACAGCAAGGGAGGUUGGAGAGGACCUCCUGAGAGCCGACACCACCGAAAGAAGAGCCGAUGAUGCUGAAGCGGCAUUGAGAGAGACCGUCAAGAACUCUCGAUUGUUAGAAAAAAUAGAGGGGCUUGAGGCUCAGCUCGAGAGGUGUGCGAUCGCAGCCAAAGAAAACUCUCGAUUACAAGGAUUGAUAAAAGAGCUUGAAGCUUAGCUGGGGGCAACCGAAAAGAAUGCAGCGGAGGCCGCCUUCAAAGCCGUUGCAGACUUCCAAGCAUCAGCAGAGUGUCAAGAUUAGAAUGUCGAAUUUGCUACCGAUACUUAUAAUCUUAAGAGGCAAUCAGUUCGGGAUAAGGUCGCCGCUAGAUAUCUAAAACUAAAUUUAAAAUUUUUAGAUGAAGUUUGGGACCCUACUGCAGUCGAUGAACCUGCAACAGGUGUCUCGGCUCCAAAUGCGGCUUCUUAAAUUUUUAUUUUCUUUUCUUUUUGUACCUUGGAUUCCUCGGGGUUGUUGUAAAAUUUUUUGAAUUUGAAUGAAUAAAAUUAAUUUUCUUUCAUACCUUGUCUUUAUUUGUGAUGUGCAUGCUGAUUUGAGAUAACUUCCUACGCCAGCUGAUCUGGGGUAAUUAUUUGAAUGCAUCGACCUGGAGUGAAUAUUUAGAGGCACGUUCAUUCUAUCCUUUUUUCAAUGCUAGCGGUCAUGGGAAUAGUGGCUGUUGACUCUUCCAUUAGGAUAACGCCUAAAGAAAGACGUGGGGCCAGUGGGCAGAUGCCAUGUUGCCAUAUUUUGAUUCUCGAAGCGUUGUUGGGAUUUAUUCUUAACGAUGGGAAGAUAACAUAAUUUAUUAGUUGGUAGACAAUUGUAUCCACUCCAGCUUUCGAUUGGCGGUUGAUGUAGGCUUUGGUGUUUAUAAAUAAAGACCAACGGAUGGAGAAACCCAAUCUUUCAUCUUCUUCUUUCGCAGAAAUUCCUUCCUUCUGCCGUGAUGGCAUCACCCUCACACUCCCUUUUGCAUCCUCUUUUGCCAUUGGUGCAGGCCAGAGUAAAGGAGAGGUGGGCCUUUAUAAGAGAGGCAUGGAGAAAGGUGAGAGCCAGAAAUGCUAGUCCAUCUUCCUCUUGCUGGGCACCUUCCACCUCACGGUCCCCGUCAAGGCCCAGGGGUUAUGGCAUCCCCUAGUUCGAGCAGAUUCGUCCUGACAUCCGGACCUACUGCAUUCAGAAGUACUAGAACUUUGCAGAGUUUAGGAGGGAGGUCAUUGACAUUGCCGUCGGCAGAUUUAUCGAUGGUUUCAAGAAUUGCAGGACCCGCCUGCUGUAAAUAUGCCGUAUUUGAAGCUCCACUCCUUUCGAUAUGAGAAUAGCGACGAGGAAGCUUCCUUAUCAGAUGAGGACUGAGCUUCCUCAUCUUUGAACUGGGGAUCGAAGAGAGUGUCCGCUAUCCGAUCGUUGCUGUCAUGUAUGAUGACGAGAGCUCCAGACUGGUUUUGCUGGCUGGCGAGGAUCUACUUUUGGACCGAUAUAAUCUUCUCUUUUUAUAUAAUGUGGCACUGAGAACGCCAUCCUUUUCUUUGUAAAUUUUUUUUGUAAGGUGGCGCUGAAAACAUCGUCCUUCUUCUUGUAAACAUCUUUUUGGUAAGGUAGCUCUGAAAGCAUCAUCCUUUUUCUUGUAAAUAUCAAAAAUGAAUAAAAAUUUAUUUUCUACAAGUUUGCGUAUUUUAGCUCAACACGCAGAGAUUGACCUCGAUCUAAGGUCCUUAGAAUUGUUUCGAUCUAGAUCAAUCAAGAUCCUAGGCAUUUAAACAAGCUUGUACCGAUUCGAGAUAAAAUUACCCCGAACGAACCUUGUUGAAGGUGACUCCAUCCAGAGGGCCGCUGAUUUUGCUCAGUAAGUGAUACUUUGGCCCUACUCUGUAGACGGCAACUUAGCUCUACUCCGUAGGCGGCAGCUUGACUCGGCCCUAUGGGCGGCGGUUUGGCUCUAUCCUGUGGGGUAGAGGCAAUAUGUGCUCGGCUUGUCUUGAGAGUGGAGCAGCAUGUGCCCAUUGUUAUGCGAGAAGCAGCGUAUGCUUGGCUCAUCUUGUGAGUGGAGCAGCAUGUGCACAUCUCAUUUUCACGUGAGAGGCAGCGUAUGUCUGUAGGUAGUGUGUGUAUUUCUUGUCUUCACACGAGAGGCAGCAUAUACACUUCUCAUUUUUGUGCGAGAGGCAGUGUGUGCACUUCUCGUCUUCACGCGAGAGGUAGUGUGUCUCCAUAGACAGCGUGUACUCAUUUCACAGUCACAAACUAAGAGUCUUAUAAGUUAGCCCUCUAGAAGUCCCCUAGGAUCUCCCUCCGCUUCUCGUGCGACUCGGGCUUUAAUGGGGUCUUGUAAGUUAGCUCCGCCUCCAAGUCGUCGAGAUUUUGCUCGUCAAGUUAUAGAUCGAGGGUCUUAUAAGUUAGCCCUCUAGAGGUCCCUUAGGGUCUCUCUCCACUUCUCGUGCAAUUCGAGCUCUGAUGGGGUCUUCUAAGUUAACUCCGCCUCUAAGUUACCAAGGGUUGGUCGUUGAUCACCAAGGAUCUUUAUGGUUAGCCCUCAUCUGUUAGAUAUAGCUCCAAUCAGAGAAAUUCCUCAGCAAAAGAAGUAUAGAUCAUUUAUGAUGCAAGAACAAGCAGGGAUUAGUGAAUCUGAGCAUUUGUAUUGAUAUACAAUGACAACAUUACAACAUCACUGAUGAUAUAUGCGCAAGUUGGCAGAAUUCCAAGGUAUGAAGAGUGGAGUCCCGUUGAGUUGCUUAAGCCGAUAGGUCUCCGAACAUACUACUUCAUCCACAUGAUAAGAACCUUCCCAGUUAGAUGAUAACUUUUUAGGCUGUGACACUUUAGCUCGCCACAGUACCAGGUCACCAACUCCAAAUUCCUUGGUUUUGAUUCGUGCGUUGUAGUACCUGAUCACCCUCUGACGAUAGACAACCAUUCUGACAGCGACAUACUCCCUGCUUUCUUCGAUCAAGUCGAGGUUGGCUCAGAGCCAUAUAGAAUUGGAAUCUUCAUUAUAUUUCUUGACUUUGAGAGAUGGAAGCCUAAAUUUCACAGAGAUGACUGUUUCGAUUCCAAAUGCAAGGCUAAAAGGAGUCUCGUCCAUUGGAAGUCUCUGAAUGGUUCGAUAAGCCCACAGCAUAUGAUGAAGUUCAUUCGUCCAGGACUCCCCAGUUCGGUCAACUCUGGCCUUCAAAUCUUGCAGGAGAGUUCUGUUGGUCACCUCUACCUCUCCAUUCGCCUGCAGACGGCCAAUCGAGGUAAAACGAUGCUCUAUUCCAUAUUCUCUGUAGAAUUCAUGAAGUCGGACAUCAUUAAACUGCCUACCGUUAUCUGUGAUUAGUACUCGAAAAAGAUCAUAACAGUAGAUGAUUGAUUUCCAAACCAAUCUUUCACUUUGGCCUAGGAUAUACGAACUAGAAGCUCAACCUCGAUCCACUUUGUGAAAUAGUCGAUGGCCACUAGUAGGAACUUGUGCUGACUAGAUACGAAGGGGAAAAGACCAAGAAUAUCCAUCCUCCACUGAGCGAAUGGCCACGGGACGCUGAUGGAAGUUAGCAGUGCUGCCAGUUGAUGUUGAAUAUUGAAGAUUCUCUAGCACCGAUCGUAUUUUCUGACGAAAGCACCUAAAUUCUGUUGCAUAGUGAACCACUAGUAGCCUUACCAAAGGAUUUUGUAAGAGAGGGAUCUACCCCCUAAGUGGUUUCCGCAGAUUUCUUCGUGGACCUUCCAUAGCACAUAAUCUGCCUCAGAUGGGCAUGACCGCUUGUACAGUUUAUUAUCAUGCAAGACAUAGCAGGUGACCUACUUCUUUAUCUUCUAGGCUUCCUUACGGUCAGUAGACAGCUAGCAGGAAUUGAUAAGGAAAACCAUCCCGCACCUCUCUUUCCCUUCGCACAAAAGAAUGAAAGGCAAGCCUUAAGGAACUACCAUAGCCUAAAUGAAACCUCAGAUGGACAAUGAGCAGAAAAAAUUAACCAGAAACUGACACUAAAAUAAGAUUCUAAGUCCUCUCUUAACCUUGUCCAGUAAACUGGAAGUCUCCCUUGUCUUUUUUCCACGCUUCGUAACAGUGUAUGCAAGAAAAGUGGCAGAUUAUACUAUCCUAACUGGAAUGACAAGAACGGGAUGAAGUAGCCCAGUCCACCACCAAAGCAGUCAAUGUUUGAAGUGCAACAAACGUCCACUCAUUGUUCGAUGACUCCAAGACCUUUUACAAAAAAUAGCAACAAUGAAAACUCUAAUAGCAGAUUAAUCCCCUUGCCUCAAUUGCAUCUCUUACUUAUAUAGAAAAUGGUCAUAAGGAAGAAUCCUCUAAAGAUGACCUACAUGAGCAUACCCUCAUGAAGCUUUUAGGUUCCAGAAAACUAAACUACCUUUUGAGGAAAAAGAGCGCAAUCAAUUACCAUUUGUUAAUCAAUGGCAUAACACCAAAAGCCCAAAAGCCAGCUAACUCUAAACUUGUGUUCUAGUCUAUUAAGCCCAACUCAUUUUAGAAAGAUCAUAGACCAUCUUAUUAGUCAUCCAUAAUUCAAAAUCCUUGCAAAACAAUCAAAUUAUGCAUGUCAAUCCUUUAUAAAGAAAGGAAGAAAGAAAGACAGGAAAAAAAAAAGGAGAAAAAGAUAGAGUGCAUCUACCGGGAUGCUCGACCGGACAGCCGUCGAGAUGGGGCAACUUGAGGGGCUUCUUAUUCAAAGGAGAAACCAGGCCGCUCCCAGACAUGGAUUUAAAACCUUGGUUUCUAUUAUGUUUCAUCCUCCUUUGCGAAACUCAAUCAAGUGAAUAGUCUUUCUGCACACCUCAAGACUCCUUAGCCCUAGGACUCCAUAGACUUGGCAUCUCUGUCCUAAUUUUCCAGCUCAACCACUUGCCUCCCAAAUACAUUCAAUACCUCUUGAAAAGAACUAACCUUGAAUUUUCAUGUACAAAAUUAUCAAAUCAAUUAUAUCCAUAAUUGGUUAGAUAGCUCCUAUUGUAAUUCACACAUUCCAUCUUUCAAUUUAAUGAUUCCAAAAUUGGAGUUGAAGAAUACCCAGAUUUCAAGCAUAUUGAGAUUUGGGCAUCAAAAUAUUUAUUUCCUUCUUGUAUUUUUGUAUCAAAACAGAGAAAAAAUAUUUGCCAGUUAAAUCUACCGAUCUCAUCUAUGUAAAAUGGAUUCCAAGCCCACGAAUUUGGUUCCAAUUUGUUAUUAAAAACUAGUCAGAUUGAGUCUCAUAUACCAAGAUCAUUAUCAAACAAACUUAAGUGUGCAUUUACUUAGAACUAGUUCGACACAUCUAGAGAUAGCAUGUGGUCAAAGACAGAUAAUAAAUGUGUGGGAAGGAACCUAAGUACAACUAAAUGAGGAAAAUGCUAACAAGACAACGUUACUAUAACAUCAUUGAUCACUUUGCAUGGUCGAGUGUCGAGAUGUAUUUUGUAACUUUUACCUAUUUUCAAAAGCUAGGUGGUGAAUUUGUUCAUUGAGUAGGUCAAAUGGCUUUAUAGUUUUGCCCAUAGUACUGUAUAAAAAUGGUGGUGAAGAUAAACAUAACAUCCAUUGAUCCUAACACAGUGACAAAACAUCACCUAGUCCAUAUUUAAUACGCUGCCAAAAUUUUGAAUUACUGUAGCAUAAAGAUUAUUUAUUAUAAGGAGAAAUGACAGAACAUACCAUGAUAACUGAUGUAAUAUUUGACAUGAACCUCCCCAAAUAGAAAAGGAAAAACAAAAAAUAUUCAAAUGAAAAACAAGAAUUUCAUCUCAAACAGCUCAUUAUAUAGUUUUUGACACUAAAAUGUAAACAAUGCAAAAACACAUUAUCUUUUACAAGUAUAAACACUAUAAAAGAAAUGACUAAUUAAGCAGAUGUAUG